CUACGGGCGGCACCAGUGGGGAAUAUUGGGCAAUGGGCGAAAGCCUGACCCAGCAACGCCGCGUGAAGGAAGAAGGUUUUCGGAUCGUAAACUUCUAUCCCAGGUGAAGAUAAUGACGGUAGCCUGGAAGGAAGCCCCGGCUAACUACGUGCCAGCAGCCGCGGUAAUACGUAGGGGGCAAGCGUUGUCCGGAAUGAUUGGGCGUAAAGGGCGCGUAGGCGGCCUUCUAAGUCCGAUGUGAAAGUCCUGCUUUUAAGGUGGGAAUUGCAUUGGAAACUGGAGGGCUUGAGUGCAGGAGAGGUAAGUGGAAUUCCCGGUGUAGCGGUGAAAUGCGUAGAGAUCGGGAGGAACACCAGUGGCGAAGGCGACUUACUGGACUGUAACUGACGCUGAGGCGCGAAAGUGUGGGGAGCAAACAGGAUUAGAUACCCGAGUAGUC
rnacentral:rRNA from 1 species